ensembl:lncRNA
CUGAGAUCAUCCCAAUUUUACCACUAUAAAGAGGCAUGGAAUACAAAGUUUUUCAUCCUGAUCAUCCAGAAAAGACUUUGAUGUGUUCAGAUGCACUGAAAUUAGGCUUUAAUCUGGUUUUGGUUUUGCAGAAUGAUAGGCUUACUGAGCUUUCAUAAACCCAGUAUCAAAGUACUCCAUCUUAUUUUGGUUUUGUUACCUAUCUUGAAAAUAGGAUUUUUUUAAGUCAUGCUGAAGUACAGCUUCAAUUACAUUCUGUUAAUAAAUAACCGCUUAAUUAUGACUUCUUGCAAGAUCCCACCCCACCAAAGACUGGCAUUUAGAGGAUUAUGCCUGCAGGGAUGAGGACAGUUCAGUUUCAGAGCUGUAUCUCCUUGGUAUGACUGUUCCUGAUGGAUUGUGAACAGAAUUGUAUUGUGAAAUAUAUGCGCUUAUUGGAGUUGCUGUUAACUUCAUAAUUGCUCUGUAAUUACUAAAGAGAGAGAAUCUUGCGCUUCUGACAGCCAGUCUCACAGGAGGAGGAUGGCUUCUCCCACCACACACUGCCUCACAGUGCUCUUGUCCUGGCCUGACCUGACUGUCAUGAAGCUUGCUAUGGAUUUUGUACCUGCGCUCUGACUGUUGGGCUGCAUCAGAACUUCUCUGCUCAAGAGAACCCGUUUGCAUCGCAGCUGUGAGCAAGUCCAGCUUCUCUUGUGACACACAGAAAACUGUGAUUCAGCUCAGGUAGCUCUCUUCGUUACAUGAUGACAAAAGGGUGAUGUGUUGCUGGCCCGCUGGGAGGCCACCCACGGCCCUCAGUGUCCCAGCAUGUUCCUGUGCAUGUGAACAUCCCUGAGGCUGCUUCCUGGAGAUGUCUGUCACAUCACACGGGCCAGUUCCACUACGUGCCAGUGAUCCAUGCUAUGGCUUUGGUAUUUCACUUCUGCUGGACGUACUUUCCAGUGCAUCCUGGGAGCAUGCUUGUAUUGCCGUAACUGCAUCCCAUGGGCACCCCAAAUCAUUAAUCACCAGUGUGCUCUUUUCCUCUUCUGCUGGUUCCAGACGAGUUCCCAGUUCAUAGCGUAAGUUCCUGCUGUUAAUCCAUAAGCCAUAACCUUUAUAUUGGGUACUGUUCAACACAAUUAGAUUUCUGUUACAUGAUGUUCUUUCCUGCAGUUAAACAUGACUUGCUUUACUUAUGCAGCCAGCCUCAGGUGAGAUUUAAUUGUAACCUUGGGGUUCAAGCUCUGUGCUUGCAUACCACUCUGUGAACCUGCCGGCCCACCAACCCAUCACCCGUACUCAUCUCAAUACAUGAGCAAUCAUCCACAGCUCUCUGCAGCCUUGUUUUGUGGGGCUGAGCACAGAGCAUGCAGCCAGAAGAGUUGUUCAAUGCUGGCAUGGCCAAGCUGAGGCUGAACAUCAGCCCUGUCCAAAGGACCCACUCUUUCCAGAGCAAAGAAACUCUUUCCAUUAGCCAAAGAAUGAAUCCAGGAUGGCUGGGAGUCAGGUCACCCUGACUGCAAUGUAAACAUGGUACCUGCUCUGGUGCAAGCUGCAAUGGAAAACAAAGGCACAAUAGACCAGACAAGGUCAUUACACACAAUUUGAUCCAAUUAUAUAUCUAAACCCACGGCUCUUUGUGCUGUGAGUUUGAUUUUGUGCUGAGAGGCAGAGAAAGCAGCCUUAUAUAUAAUGGAGCAGCGCUGGGCACUGAGUGCUUUGGUGCCACAAGAGCAUGACAGUAAGAGAAAUGCCUGGGGAAGUGAAUCAAUAGCAGCAGGCCGGCCAGCUGCAGGGUGAGGACGGGGUAAAUUGCUGGAAGAAACUUUCCCAGCCACCAGACAAGUUGGGAGAACAAUACAAAGAACAGGAUGUGAGGCACUUCCCGGCACUGGCGACUCUGCGCCAAGGAGCGCGGCCGCUUCCAGGGCUAUCUUUAUACCCCUGUAAUCUGGAGACGUUUUCUAACGUUUUCUCUCAAUUUCUGUGCUCGUUGGGAAGCUGCUGUUUCUUUUAGCUCUCCUUCAGAGAGCCAAUCCUCGCUGCAAAAAUACGAGGCCGCGUUCCUCCACCCUUCCGAUCGAUGCCACCCCUGGCAGAUCUCUGAGCAAGACUGGGAAUAGGCCAGUUCCCCCUCUGGCAUCUGGUUGAUAGAGCAAUGCCCACGCUUUUUUGCUUUUUCCCAUCCCUCUCCCUCCUCCCAUCCCUGAGGGAUGGAGACAUUUGUUGCUUGUUCUGAUGUCUGUUACCAGCCACUCUCAUCUCCAUGCGUAGAUCCCAUAGAGGUGCUUCUCCCUCGAAUAUCUGAGCCAUUGCAAGUGAAAGAAAAACAAAACGCGGCCCUGUGAUUUUCCUCCCUGCUAUCAGGAAACAGGUUUGUUUGUUUUUUAAUGAAUGCAAAAGAAUGCAGAUAGCGGAGAGGAAAAGCCUGGGCUCUGAGCUCUGUGUUUCUUUAUUUAGGCUCCUCCAUGUGCAUCAGCUGAGCCCAGCAGGCGGCAAAGCAAGAGGUGGAUGUUAUUUCAGGAAAAGCCUGGCCCCUUGGGCUUGAGACAGAGCAGCAUCCCAGGCUGCAGUCCCCUGGCUCCUGUUGCACGUAGGGAAUUUGGGUGGAAGAAGGAAUCCCAGAAAUGUGGCUUUUCUCUUCUGUCCUCUAGGUUUUGCAGAGCAGGUGUACCCAGGGCAGCUCAGUUCUACUGGGACAGGUCACCGGGUACUGCGUGGUCUGGUAUUUCCCACUGCUUUGGUGCUGGACGUUAAACAGGAGACCAAAGAGCAUUUCUGUGGCAUAAUGUGGGAGAGUGAUGGUGUGUGAUGUGCUGGAGGCUCUGAUGCUCGGGGGAGCGGGGUGUACGCCACGUGGGAGAAGCAGUAGUGCCCCGUGGUUGUGCUAGGUGGCAUGGGCUGAAUGGCAGCAAAAGGCUCCUUCCAGCCGCAGGCACGCUGCAGUGCUCUCUGGAAACCACAGCUGAAAUCACAGUCACAUUGAUGUCAACACCAAAAAGGAAAAACAAACAGCAAAGCGAUGUGACAGACUCAGCACAAUAUUUCUCUUGACUUACUGAUCAGCACUUAAUGCUGGUUUUAGGUGUUUCUAGCUCACUGUAAGUCCAAUUCUAGUCUCAAAACAUCGUGUCAGCAUGAAAAGUAGGAGUGCAUCACAUACAGAGAGCUGAUUAGACUUUUCAUUUUAUUCAAAUGUACAUAUUUUGGCCACAGCUCCUUGCUGAAUUCAGCACAGAUGCAGGUUUGGUCAGCCUGAACUUGCAUCUAUCAGUGCUUAAAACAUUCAUCACACUGUUUUUUACCUGGCCGUAGCCAUGAUGUUGUGUGAAGCACUGUUUCACUAUACAUGGGUAGCUAGGGCACAGCUGUUCUUUGGGAUAUGAGCAGCUCUGAGGUAGGUCACCUUUACCUCUAAAACCAGUACUCAUUUGCACUUUGUAAAGCAUAUUUCCUCCUCAGUCACGCAGGAUUUUUUGCUUCUUUAGAAGUAUUUCUUUUGUAGCAGAUUUUUAUGCAGAUUUUUAUGCAAUAACUUAUUACUAGGUUGUUUUCUAUUGAUGCGGAGAAAUCUUUCAUGCAAUUUGCAUCCCAUUAACAGCUUCAUAAGAGAUGAUCCUGAUUCUAAUAGCUCUGCACAAUAAGCCAAUAAAGCCAAAUAUGGAAGGGAUUAUGAAGUGCAUUGCUGUUAUACCCGCAAAAUGGCUCAUCCUUUCAAAAUAGAGGCAUUGACUCCUCUGACACCGAAGGUUAGUCCUAAGAGUUACAACUAUCUGGUAUUUUUUCAGCAGUGCUUUGACUGCCUUUUAUCUCCUGUUUUUUGCCCUGUCCGUUUUCUCGCAUUAGCAGCAGUGACCGCAAAACCAAAGCAGAGCCCCAGUCUUCAUGGACUGAUGCCUCACAGGUGGGUGUCAGAUGCAGCCUUCCAGGUGCAAAACACUGCCGGAUUCCAGCACUGUAAUAAAACCAGUGUUACAUCAUUUCUGCAGUGGUGGAACAACAACAGAACCUGCCUUGGGGCAGGUAUAUGCACUAGCCAUUGGCCCUGUCACAAACACCUUCCUGUAGGCAUUUUACACCAUAUACUACAAGUUUCCACCACCUGUAGAACAGGCCAAGAGUCUAUGCUGAGGCUUACGGAGCUGCUCUGAUGCUGCGUGGGCUGGUGGGGAGAAUUACCAGCCGUGGAAAUGAGUUAACUCUCUCCCUGGUGUCAGUCUCAACCUGCUGUCUCAGGGUUUUCCUCCAGUUUCAUAAACCAAGGAUUUGAAGUGAAGGGCAGACAUUAGAAACUGGCCUCCUGCUCAGUAGAGAGAUGGAGGGGAGUGCCUGUGUGGGAAAACUCAUCACUGCAUGAGACCCUGUGCAUUACAUCAGUCAUGUACAGUACCUGUGUGUAAGACAGACAUAGAGGCUUCAUGGCAGUGGUGGUGGCCAGAGUAGCACUCACAUGCUGGGGUCACCAGCAUCUGCUUAUGGGGUAUCCCCUGUCUGUCUUGGCUGGAGAGCCAGUAUGAGUCACCAUGGCCACCACAGGCCACUGCUGCUCCCCACACUCACUUGAGCUGUGCCAAAGCAGCCACGUGGGACAUAAAGAAUGUGGCAGAUUGGGAAGGCAGAGCAAGGCAGCAGCUGGAGACACUACUAAGAGGUGGGAAGGUUUCUGCUCCCGUCCCUCAGCAAGCACAUGCAUAUGCUAUGCUGAUACUUCUGUUUCUUACCGGAGUUGGAAAAUUGCAGCUGUGGUGGAUGAGAUGGUGGGGGAGUGGGAGUUGGGCAGUCUGGUAUGAUGAGAAGCUGGCUCAGAGGAGAAAAGGGGGCUGGUGGGAGAGGGAACAGUAGAGACCCAGAGCAUGGAGGGACCUGCCUAGGGCUCACUUUUCCUUCCAGCCACCAGAUUUUUCCUUGCCUGCUCCUGCUUCUUCUGGGAACAGCACUGGGGUCACUCAGCCAUCUGGCUCCCUCAUGCCCUCUCUUUUCCUGCAGGUCACAGCCUGACGUUCUCACACAUGAAGUAACCGUUCAGGCUCCUGGGAAAUACAUGAGAGGGCUCUUUCUUAAACAGUGGCAAUGCCCAGACCACACUCCUUCCUAGUGUACAUGUAAUGUUGUAUGUGUUGUUAACUAGCUCAGUUGCCUAACAGAGAGAGUUUCCUCUGUCUGCAACAAACAGCACUCAAAAUAAUUUUUUUACCUUCUUUGGUCACACUCAUACAUACUCCUUUUCUAUUUCAAUCGCUCAGCCAUUGUAUGGCUUCAGUGCAUUUGAACCACUCGAGUAUUUUGGUCUGGUGUUUGACUUCAUGGUCAUCAGUGUUGUCUUUAUGCCUCCAUUUGAUUUGGAGGUUGCCUUCAAGUGGACCCAACCACACCAGCUGCUCUCACAGUGCUGAUGGGGUGAAUGCAGUACAAAAGAGCUCAGUGUCACCCCAGCUCAAAGGUCCUCCUCCACCAUCCCUGGCCACCUGGGGAUGCUGCCCUUGUAAUGAUGGGACAAGGUGCUUGGUUCUCAUGUCUGUGGCAGACUUCUGUUCACAGACUGCCAUGGUUGGAGCAGCCCUGCUAUUGCCAGGCCACAGCUGGCCUGUUCAGACUUGGCAUUGGCAGGGGCUAGAUCCCAGCUUUGAUUCUGUAUGAGUACUGGUCAGCCCUGGUAGGAUGUCCUCUGUUUUUUAUGGCCGCCUGCCAGAUGCAUGCUCCUCGUGGGUGCUCUGCUGGCCAUACUUGAGCAGGCCUGGCUUCAGAAGAGGUGGUUGCAGUCACCACCUGGGACAUGGGGUGCCUGUCUCACAAGCUAUAUCUCCUGCCUUCAAAAUGCUCUCCAUGUCCACAGGAUUUUAUACUAAUCCCAGUUUUUGUGCCUCUUAAAUUUCUAGCAUCUGUAGAGUGUAGCUUUACCAAACAUUAAAAGAUAAUUCAGCCAAUUUUAAAAUGACCCUCCCUUGCUUUCUUUUCCCUUCCUUUCAGGAGCUGAGUUUUCCUUUCCUCUGGCUUGUACAUGUUUAAACCAUUGUCUUACUCUUCUACAACCCUUUUAUGUCUAUACCUAGUAAGUACCAGGACCCUGUUGGUCAUAGAUAACAAGGGUUUCCAAAGAGUCUGAAUAUAAAUUGCCUUUUUCUUUGAAGUUUCUGCUUUCAGCUGCUUCCGACUUGACCCUUUCCAUGCUUCUUUUUCUAGAUAUCUCUUUCCUUCCUUCCUCCAUCUUCUUUUCAUCCCCUGAUUUUUUCUCUCAUUUUCUGGAAUUUGUUAUUUCUUCAGACUUGGUUUCUGUUUUCUUCAUUUUCCACUUCUUGUCUCCCCAGUGGCCUCCAAAACCAUCUCUAAUCCACCGCCUUCUGCUUCAGAUAUUUGCACCUUCUGGCUGGUUCUGCUGUCAUCUGCAUGCCCCAGCAGCAUGCAGAAGGGAGGAUGAAGCUUAGCACUUCCUUAUCCGUCAGUCUCACAGCAGAAGCAAGGCACAUUUUCCUCUUCUCUCCAAAGGCAGAGGUACAUGGGAUUUCACCCUGGCAGGGCUUGCCACCUCAAACACCACAUUCGUGUGCACAGAGCUAGCACUCAUCUUAGAAGCCCUUCCAGAGCUGGGCCAGCAUCCAUAGAUUUUUACCUUAAUCAACACAUGUCUUUAAGUGUUGCCCUUUGUAAAGAAUACUUUAGCAAAAUGAUUACUUUCAUUACAGUUGGUGUUCAGUUUUCCAGACACUCGGUACCGUGUGGAUUUAUGUUUCAGACCACAACAGUUGUAAGUCAAACAUUGUGCUCCUCAGUAUAAUUUCCUUUCGCUGUGAUAUUAUUUCUUCUGGGCCUUCUGGUAAUCCUCUCUUAAUAUUUUCCACUGCAGCACUGCAAGGCCCGUGCUGGCAUUGAAAGCUUUUACAUCUGAAAAUCACCAUCCUGCUGGCUGUAAUUAGUGCUGACACGCACACACACAGACUGAUGCCAGGAAGCAGAAGCAUUGUCCUUUAGCCUUACUCAUAUGGAAAGGUCGGAGCUUUGGGGUGGCUUUCUUGUGUGCAGAUGCCUUCAAGCACUGGGAAGCAGGGAGCUGUGGCACUGCUCUUGGUUAAACGACAAGCUCGUCUACCCAAGCAUGUAGCUGUGGCCUUGACAGGUUACAUUUCUGUUUGCAUUGUCACUUCCUAUCAUGCCUGCAGCGGAGGUAACUGUUUGCACUGUCAUAACAUCUCUUCUGCUGGUGCUUCCUGGCCUGCAACACUGCAGAAAUUACCACAGGGUGCAUCGCCCCACUCUCCAGACUCUCGCUUGAGGAUGGCACACAGACAGUCACGAGGCCCCAAGCAGCACAAGCAGCUGUGGAGGCUGCCAGCCUAUGAGCUGCCUCCUGGUUGCCUGUCCUGGCUUUCCUGCCCAAGCUCUAGGCCAUAGGUAGCCUCAUGCCCAGGGGACUACAGCCCUGGAAGUGAGCAUCACUGCACAGCCUCCAAUGGUCACUUGGGGUGGGCUGAUGAACAGGUCCCUCUGGAAGAGGUCCUGAACCAGCUCCUUCUGAGAAGUCCUGAAAACAUAUGAAAGCUAAUAGGCACGAUAGCUGUCAAUAAAAUGCCUUCUGUUAGAUUUCAGAUCAUUUCAGGAAUGAGUACAGAGAGACGGCUGCGUGGUGCCCCUGACGUUGGUGGAAUUUCUUACUUCUCUUGCAGUAAAAGCAAGGCUGCUUGAUGCCAGCGAGAAACAUGUGGCUGUCCAACAUAUUGCCUGAGAUUCACAAAGGGAAUCAUUGGUACUGCUGAUUUCAGGUGUCUUUUAUUAAUACUGAAAAGAAAAAUUGAGCGUUUCCUUUGUACAAUUUGUAAUGCUCUGCUAAUCUGUGUAAUCUGCAGCUAGUGUCCAUUUGUGCUGCGUUUGCAACAAUUUCCCUGCUUUGUCAUUUCCAUCGCAAUACGUAGGUGUUGUCUAUUUUGCUUGUAAGGUCAUCUCAGGCAGUUCUGGUUUGAAAUAUUUGUCCUGCGAGCUUUCCCCAAACAUGUGAUAGUUUCUACUGGCUGCUCUUCUUGUUUGGUUUCUUUUUAUGUCCUUUAUGGGAGGGGAAGUGGAUGAGCUGGGAGGAAAGAUGAAAUGUCCUUUGUGUGCAGUUAGAGACAAGUAUCAUCCCCACACACUGAUGAGAUCUACCCUCACCUUCACGUGCUUCUGCUCCAAGCUGCAACUUGCAUCUACAUCCACCUCUACAGACAUAGAGAUGCACAGGGGACUCCCAGUUGCUGUAUAAUGAAUUGGAUUAUAAUCCCCCCUGGGAGAUCAACCUUACAAAAUGCUCCUCGUCCAUGUCCCUGCAUAUCUACUGGUCCAGGCCCACUACCAGCCCAGUUCCCUGCUGAUGUGAGGAAACCCAGCUCCAGGGAGACACAGUCAGCCACACUAACAUGUGGUACACGUGUGACAUCUCUUCUAACAAAAAUACGGCUAGGCAGUGUUUUAUGUGCCUGGCAUACAUAACUACGUCGCUGUGUCAGUGCACUGAUGAACUUCACUUCAGAGAAGUACAGAGUUAGCAAGAAGACAACAAGUGGUAAAACAAAUGAACAAAGCCAAGCUGCUACGUUUUAUGGCAGUGUAUGAACAUAUCCAAGGCGUUUCUUUAAAAACAUGCUGUGCUCUUACUUGUGCCACGAGCCCCCAUUCUUAGUUAACCUUCAGGCAUUUAAGGUCAGAAGGCACCAUCUGAGCCAUCAGUUCUGCUGUACAAGUAGGAGACUGGGUCAUGAGAAAGGAGAAGUGAAUGAAUCUCAUGAAAAGAGAAAGGAAAUACCUCUGGACUUGAGAUAGGAUUCAGAUGGGAUUGCUGAGGACUACCAGAGUUCCCUCUUUGUGUUUCACUUCAACUGAGAUGGAGUUUCCCUUUCUUGCACUGAGUGCGAGGUCUGUGGGCAGCCAGGGAAACAUCUGCUGCAGACUUGAUGUGAUGAAGUGCAGAAGUCUAAUGUGGCAAAGAGAAGAGACAAGGCUAGAGGAAAAGAGGUUAAUGAGUAGAGAGGAACACAAACCUGCAUGAUAAUAAAAGCCUGGAGGACUUCAGGGGGCAGGCUAAACGUGAACAGGAAGAUGACAGAGCUGCAUUUCUAGGCACCUGAGGGAAGGCAGGGAGUUGUGUUGUGGCUGUCACAGCUAAAAGAUGCAUCGAGGCACAAGCAAGGAUGUCUACAGCAGCCAACAGGAAGCAUUUGACAGACCAGGAGAUUAGAGAGGAGGUUACCAUCAAGGUAAGAGAGGAGAAAGUGUGAGUUUGUAGAAAUUUUGCAUAGCUAUGGUAUUGCUCUGUAAGCUGCAAGAGGAAACCCUUAACAACAGAUUCCCAAAAGCUUGUGAUGAGAUGUCACUUCUGCCAGGGGAAUAAUACGAAGUAGGCUGCAAGCAAAUAAUAAAACCAGCUCAUUUUAUUAAGCUGAAUCAAUUCAUGCUGGUUUUAUGCCUUCCUAUCACCCUCUUUUUCUAACCGAAGCUGUUUCAUUAACUAAAGAUACGAUUACUCUGUUUGGUUCAGUUGUCCUCAGUGUGGAAUGGCCUCCCAUGUUUGAGGUGUUCGGCUGCAGGCUGAGUUGAAUCCUCAAGCUUAUCCAGUCCUGAAACUGUCCUGAACUGCAGUGGCCGAACCUGCACAGUUCAAAUGAAGUCUUCACAGCAUAGACAAGCGGGAAAGAAUUAUUUCCUGUUUCUUGCAGAUUGAACUUCUGUUUGUACACCUCAUUACAGCACUUUCAUUUUUUACUGCAGCAUGACCGUGCUCAUUCAUGUUGAGCUGUCAUCCCUAGAUCUUCUGCAGAACUGCUGCUGUGCCGGUUGUUUCCCAGCCGUCUUUUAGUACUUGAUGACGCCUACGCAACUGCAGAGCUCUGCUUUGUCCCUGCUCAAUGGCGUUUGUUUUCCCCAGCAUUCCUCCAAUUUGUCAAGAUUGUUUUGCAUUCUCAUCCUGUUUCUCCAAAGCGCUUGUUCUCCAUGGUGUCCUGUGCUAAUUUAAUAAGUGUUCCCUACUCUCAUUUCUUCAAAGAUAUUAAUGAAAAUACCGUACACUGCCAGACACAAAACAGAUGGCUUCAGACUUCAUUUGAUACGUACCGCCAGUUUGACAGUGAAGCAUUUAUAACUGCUUUUAGUCUGGUUUUCCAACCAGCUGUACACUCCUCUAAUAGCAGUUUCUUCUAAACCAUGUUUCUUUACUUAGUUUAUGAAAGUGUCAGGUGAGACAAUGGCAAAAGCUUUACUAAAAUCAAGAUCUAAGGCCUACUACAGAAGGAAAUUAGAUUGAUUGGAUGUGAUUUGUUUUUGUCAAAUCAGUGCUCGCUGUUCCUCAUCUGCUUGCUGUCAUCUAGGUGCUGGAAAAGAGCUUAACCAAUUUCCACUUCCAGCAUUUUCCAGGAAUUGAAAUUAAGCUGCUUGCUCUCUGACUCCUUGGGCACCUUUGAGUAGACCAAAGGAAGAAAGUAACAACCAUUUAGGUCUUUGGUAUCGUCACUGAGUAACUCCUCCUUGUGAAACUCAGGUCUUUCUCUGGCCCUCCUUUUACUUCAAGUGCAUAAACUUCACGCCCACUGCUCGUUGCAUCACCUAUAUCUUUUUCAUUUCAUUCCUCCUCUUAGUAACAUGACCUAGUUUGACUUUCUGUCUGCUUCCACUGCACAUCUGAAACUAAUGAAGAGCUCAUGAUUUAAUCACUUUGUACCUUGUGGGCCUCCUGUAGGGCUUGUGCUAAGUUGCCCUGCUACCAAGCAGUUCACAAGCAGUUCUUUACUAUUUCUUCUGUGAUUGUGCCUUCCACACAACUUCCUUACAGCACUGUUAACUCUUCAAAUGUCCUUUCUGCCUCAGAUUUGCCACUUGAAGGUCACUCUCACCCCAGCUGCCUUUCACCUUUGCCUGCAGACCCAAGUUUCCUGUAUAAGUCAGAAUCAAAUACUGCAGAGCAUCUAGUCAGGAAGGAGCUAACUUAAAGAGAUGAUAGCAGCAGUCAGUUCAGGGAAGAGCACAGAAAGAGCACCAGCACAGAGCUAAAUAGAUAUGCUUCUGCAUAUUUAGCACUUAGUUGUGUCAGGAAAAAUUAAUAUUAAUGUUCACAAUUACCUGCCCCCGCCUAUGAACUUGUCAUUAAAUACAGGAGAGCCGGAUAACAGUGGUGAAAACAUUGUGUAAAACUUGAACAGUGAAAGACUUACCAUUGCUGUUUGUCUGUCUUAAGACUUUUUGACGGUAUCUAUUAUAUCUUUGCACAGUGAGGGGGCUUAGACUUUGCAAACAUUUGGAAAUUCUGUGUAAGAAGCAUGCAGUUAGAUCUUUCAUUCAAUUAAGCAUUGACAUUACAGUGUGUUUCCAAUGAUGGGGGCUCAGGCCUGCAAGCACAGCAUCAAGAAGUUCUCACUGAGCCAGAGCUCACUGUGGUCCAUGCUCUUUAAGCACUGUUGAUCAGGGCUUCAGCUUCUCAGCAGCCAACCAAGAUGCUUCAGGCCUUCAGGGACAGAUUAAUCUUUCCAGGUCAGCUUGUUCCUGUGCAUGGUGUGCAUUGUUCCUAGUAAUGUCUUACUCUAGCUUCAUUAAUAGUAGAAAAGCUCUACCUAAAUGUACCUUCCUGCUUAAAACUCCCACUCAGAAAUUUGCUUUGGGAGCACCUUGCCCUCUACUCCUUACUGCCAUCUGUCCAAACCAAUCUGACACUUCCAGGCCAAGGCUGUGCCCAUGCAACCUCCCUGUGCAGUCCUGGAAAAGCUCACCUGAGCAGAGUGAUGUCAAGUUGGCUGCUGGCUGCCAUUCAUAGCUUGAACAUGUUCUUGCAGAAGUCCCUUUACGUGCUGAGCAAUUGGUCCAUAAGCACAGUCGGCACGGCAGUCAGUAACUCUGCUGUGAGUUAUUUUAAUGAUGUUAUUGAUUUCAUUAGCUCCAUUUUGUUUUGCCUCAUGACAUCAACUCUUGGCGCCAGGGUUAAGUGGCAGCUAAUUAAUUCAGUAUAAACGAUGUUUCUUUAUGGGGCAGCCAGGAUCAAAGAGGACUCCUGAAGCUUCCAGGGAUAUCUGCCCAGAAGCUGGGAUGGUUUGUAAAGGAAUUGUUGACUUUGUUUUAACAUCCCAAACAAUCACAUUAGUACAACUUUAUAACUUACUCCUCUCCAUGCACUUCAUAUCACCUCAUGAGAAGAAAAUGUUACAGAAGAGCUAUGAUGAUACAACAAUAGCUGGUAUCCUUGCAGGCACUCCGAUUUCUCUUCUUUAUCUAGCAGUUGGAGUUUGAUAUAUCAUCCAAUGAUUGCUCUUUGAGUCAUUGGAAGCUCCUACGAAAAGAAGAAAAACAAAUUUACAAGCUGCUGUGGUAGUGUCGUAGUCUAACUGAGCAUCCACGGCAUCAGCUGGAGAACUGUCCUGAUGGUGCUCUUGGAAUUUGGGUCAGACUACAUAAUGCUCCAAACAAGCUGUGAAGAAAGCUGCAGGAAGAUCUGAGAGGCAUCCCCAUGAGGACAGGGAUGGGUAAUUAUUUAUUUUUUUAAGCUUGCUCAAAGCCCUGCGCCUACCUGUGGCCUGACUCAAGGCUCCUGUUGGCUUUGGGGAGAGCUGGCCAAAACCAGUAUGUUGGACCCCACUUGUCAUGCUCUUGGCACUUUUGCAGAAGGAGCUGGAAGGACAGCUCACCCCAGCUUGUGUCACAACAGCAGAGAUCAUGUUUGCAUCUGCAAGAGAAGCUGCAGUCAACAACAUGGUGCCAACAGUCUCCAGGUGAAUGCAGCUGGUGUGCUUCUGUUUCACUGAACUUUUAUCUACCAUAUAAUCAUGAAUGGGAGUCCCUCUACAAAGUGGGUCUUCACCCCACUAUUUGCAUUCUAUUUCUCUGUCUAGUGGCACUGUGGCUAUUUUCUUUGCUCCCUGAACUGUCCAGCUUUUCCUUCCUUUUUCCCUUCCUAGCCCCUUCCCUCUUCAUUUCUAUUCCAGUAUGUUUUCACAAGAUGACCUACUGAAUAUUAGUAUCUGGGUAAAGACUACCUCUUUGUGUCAAACCUCUGGCUUCAUCACAACACCAUAAACCACCACUGGAAAAUAAAACAAUAAAGCAGAGGUGUAUGAGGGGUUUCUCAAGUAAGUUAUUUGUGUUGAGCACACGUACAGAUACUUAUUUUACUUUCUCUAUCAUAGAUCAGCUAGUGGGUAUUUUCUUUAGUUGAAAUAUUGGAAAAUAAACUCAGGCAGCCCUGAGAUCUGUCCCAGGUGGCACAGUCAGGGUGCAGGUGGCAUGUUAACCCACUGCUUCUCAUGGUGCAGAAGCCUGGGGCUAUCAAAGUGAAAGAGCAGGCUGUGUGAACGCCUCACCGUGGGUCAUUUUUUCUUGUCAAUGUAUAACCAGACUUAAAAUGUGGUUAGGCAAAUUCCUGCAUAAAAAGUCCUUCGGGGCUCUUUACAACUAGGGAUUUAGCUGGGACUGUACCACUGCCCAACUGCCCUUCGUGUCUGCAUUUUCCUAAGCUAUCAUCCUGGCCCUUCUCAGAGAUGGGGCUGUGAUGUGUCCUCCCAGUCACCUCUGCACACCUCAGUUCUCUGCCUUCCAUCUUCUCCCUGCCUCCCAUCUGGGCACUUCCACGCACUGCGCAACUGCCCUGCUAGCAAACCACUCCAGAGUGAACUUUGUCCUCCGCCACCUGGCAGCAAACCUCUGUGGCAUGAAUUGUCAUGGAUCUUCUGCUUCCAAUGGAAGGUUGACAACCUGUGAAGGAUAUGUCCCACAUUUUUUCCUGAAGGCUUUUUUGAGUUGGAAGGAUCUCUUCAGUUAUUUUUGUCAAAAUGGGAGUGCAUUUUCUCCAUUUUUUUUCUUUAUUCCAGGAAUUCAGUUCUUGUCCGUGUUGAGGAAUGAGGUCAAAGAGCUGGCUUUAUAGCAUGCUGGAGAGAAAAUAACUCCUACUUAAUAAACAAAUAAAUGAACAGUCCCCACUGCUCAGUAGGGUGUGAUACGAGUUCCAAAUUUACGCGUAAAACCUUUCAAACCAUGCAUGACUUUGCUAGCACUGUUGAAAGCGAAAAGCAGGCAUGGAAAAACCUAACUAACUGAAAAUGCAUUUGGAAAUGCUUUCUUAAGGAUAAGAAUCAUAAAAUGCAAACUGGAAUACAAACCCAAUUUCACAAUAUUACAUUGCAAAUUGUUUUGAUUUUGGAAGGAUGCAGAGUGCAGGCUAAGAUCAGCUGCCUGCAUAGGCCAUGUUAUAAUAAAUCACAUUGCAUUUUUCAUCCCCAGAACAAUCUCCAGUGAUACGGUACGUUCUUUAUUAAGAGUGUUCCGCAGCAAUCAGAGCUGAAGGGAAGGAAGGAAAUGGCUUGAAGAACAUGGCAAGAAUCCCUUAAAGUUAAGGGAGGGGAAUGGGGAAAGUUAUUUUAAAAGUACAGGUGGUUAGUGUAAAUUAUUGAGCACUUCAAAUGUUUUCCCUUGAUAAUUCUAAUCACCUUGUGAAAUCAGUCAUUCACGCUUUUGCAAAACUCUUGAUUUAUUGGGAGCUUUAAUCUAUUAGUUGCAGCUCGGGAGCCAACCGUGCAUUCAUCUCCAUGGGCAGAAAGAGCUGGGCUCAGCCCUGCAGCAGAACUCAGUGCUACAGCUGCUGAGCACGCACCACCAUGACAUGAACGGUGCCAACUCUGAGAGGGAUGCUGAUGCCUGGAGGCACCCCAGCUUGCUGCACCAGGGCUUGGGCCAUGGAGAUGUUCCCUCAGACUCCAAGGGUGUGGGGACCACGGGGCGGUGGCACGGGAAUGAAGGUGUUUUGAAGUGUACCUUGGACAUUAAGCCUCCACAUUGAAUGGGAGGGUUUUGUGCGACUCUUUUGUGCCAGAUGGGUCAGCCACAGAAUGGUGCUAUCAACAUAGGUUGGCUUAGCAAUAGGGAUCAGUGAUUUUGGAUGACACUUCACAGCUUCAGUCAUGAUUCCUUCCAGGCAGAGCCCUCCUCUUGCUGUUCUUCGGGCAUUGACUUUUUUCUACUGUAUUUGGGAAUUUCUCAUCAUCAUUAUUUAGGAAUAGCUCCAGUUUGCUGUGGAUGAUAAUGUUUGUUACCAAGGUGCUUGGGUGCAGCAGUAAGACCAACUGGUGCUAGCUCAACUCUUACAUAAUUAGCAAACACUGUCAAAUCUCAGUCAUCACAAUGAAUGCUAAGGUGAUUUAGGUAAAUGAGGGUUAAGAUAAACAGGUGAUAUUUUAGUGUUUAAUGCAUUAACAUCUUAAUAGCCAUUAAAUGAUUUGACCUCAUUUCUGCUAAGUGAGCAUUUAAUAAACAAGUUUUGACUGCAGUGACAUUGUGCAAAGGUCUCUGUGAGAACUUUGGGCAGACAGAGACCAUCUUUGUGACUGAACAACACUGUGCACAGUGGGGCGUUGCACUGGAUAUGGUAGCAGAGCGUGACAAGGUUUCACGUCUGGAGGCUGCCUAAGAGCAAGGGAGACUGAGCAGGCAUGCAGGAUCCCUGCUCCAUCUGGAUGACCUGCUGCCAGCUGCCAUAGUUAGUUGUAAAGUGUUCCUCAUCUCUUUCUUUUCUAUUUUCCCCUUUUUCUUUUAAUUUCGCCUCCCUUUUCUUCCUUUUUCUCUUCUCUUCUCUUCUCUUCUCUUCUCUUCUCUUCUCUUCUCUUCUCUUCUCUUCUCUUCUCUUCUCUUCUCUUCUCUUCUCUUCUCUUCUCUUCUCUUCUUCUCUUCUCUUUUUUUCCCCUUAUUCUUUUUUUCUUGACUUAGUUGGACUGCCUGGGGACUUGCCAGAAACUAGGGGCCAGACCUUUUUCUGGGAGUCUUGUCUUUGGCAUCAGUGGAAAAAGGAUUUGCUCUUUAAUGCUCUAUAUUAGAACUACUCAGGCUGCUUGAAUCCUAAUUCAGCUAUUAACACUAGUUUAGGUAACAAGGAUGACAGUAAGGCAGUGGGAUAGGCAGCAGGACCAGGCCCACCUCUCACCCCACUUACCCCUCCACCUGCACUAAAUUCCCCUUGUGGCAACUGUGUGGUUCAGCGCAACACAGAGACUGUCCUGAAAGCUAUUAAACAUGAGAAUGAUGCCAGCUGAGCCUGAAGAGUGGGCACUGAGCACUCCUGGGCAGCCUGCAUCCUCCUGGCCCCAGCACGUGUUGCGCAGAAGAUGCACUCCAGCACAGCUUUCAUGAGCUCUCAAAGAGGCAUCGACUUCUUUUUUUUUUGCAUCUUAGCAAUGUAGCUGCAGACGUAAAACAUAACAGACAUUUAGAAACUGUAUGACUUUCCCUAAUUGUCUGCAACAGUUUCAAGAUAAGUCAUUUUUAAAAGAAUUGCUUUGAACAGAGAUGACUUUAAAACAGACUUCCGUACUUCUUGUUUUUGCUUCUGUCUUGGCACAGAUGCUUACCCUCUCUCCUUUGUAGAGUUAAUUAUGCAAAGGCGAAGAAGCUACACUAACGUUGUAAUUUUGUUUGGCAAGGUGAGCCACAAAACAUAUGCUGUGUCAUGCCUUUUUAUUACCGUGCAAGAAUUGCCAAAGAAGCCUAAGGAGGAAUCAAGGGCAUCAUCGUUGCGAGGAAAAGAGGAAACAGCCCAGUUUUACAACACUGAGGCUUGUAACCGCUUGCGGUAGAUAGUUUCAGAACUGGUUUAAUUUUAAAUUAUUCUUUUGCCAACCGACAGCAGCUUCAGAGUGACUUUUGUUUGAUCCUACCACUUUCUGAUCCCCGUUGAGUCAUUUUACGAUGCCCUGGCAACCAAAGUCCAACCGAUGCAGGCAGCGCCACAGCAGCAACCGCUCUGUCCUCUGUGUGGGGAGAUGGCAUCACCAAAGGUGGCUCUAGCCAGAAAAGCACUGAUCUCCUGUGCCCACGCCGGCUGCUCAAUGUGCUGCUACUAUCCCAAGGGGUGUUUUCAGUUGGAAGGGAUCAAGGAACCCGUUUGGGCUUAAAAUAACUAGGCUGAAAGAUAAGAUUAUGUUCAACUUGGUCUCUUUCCAGCCAGUUUCCUGAGAAGCUGGAGAGAUACAGAAGAAAUGUGGGUUUUGGUAUAUGACAAAUCCACACUGCGACUUCUCCCCACUGCUUUUGUUGCAAUGCCUUUGAGCUCGUGCAAAACUACGGAAAAGGCCACAGAGGGGGAGCUCAGCAGAAGGAAGCCUGGUUUCUCCACCAGAGAUGGAUCAUGUUGAAACACAAGGGUAGCCUCUUCCUUAUUGGAAGCUGGGAUAUUGCCUGUGCUGUGCAGAGAGGAGCCCACAGCAGCAGCCUUUGGGCAAUGGGACACACUUCUGGAGUUGUUAUCAUCUGCCAUCAAACACAGCCCUAGGCCCGAGGAGGGGCUUUAAUGAGCAGGGAAAACACCACAGAAGAACUGGAAAUGUUCCCCCUCAGGUCAGUUUGCUCACCAUUAGUGUUUUCUUACCUCCUCUGCUGUAGGCAAAUGCAUUUUCUGUAUGUAAGAAUUUGCUGAACUGAUAACCGACUUCACAGGGAUGGGAAAGGGCAAGAAUGCUUUCAGAAAGCCUCAGGUUUCCUUAUACAUCCCUGAAAGACAGUCCUCAGUGCAGACACAGCCCCGGACAGCAAAGGCUUGCUAAUGAUGACAAUGCCUGCAAAGAGUAGAAAUGUGAUGGAGAGGUUUGUAAGAGGGGCUUUGAGAGGGAGAGCACUGCACCAGUGUUUCAGGAAUAAGAGGCAGAUCUACUCACAGACACAGGCUAAUGCUCACUGUCCCUCACAUCCUCAGAGACAUAGACUGGUUACAGCAGUCACAGUUUCGGCAGUGUCCAACACAAGCUCAGCCCCACUGCCAUGGCAGCUCCAGGACAACCAUACCUCUAGGGGCAUUGCAAAGGUACCAGCACAUCUGGCAGGCCAGCCUUCAUCCCUGUAUCUUAGGAUGGCAAUAGCGUUCAGCCCAGAUCAGCUCAUUGCUUAAGGGAAAGAAGUGCUGGAAACCACUUCUGAGCUGAGCUCAUCCCAGCAGAGCAGCAUUACCCAUAGCACUUAUCUGCGGUUAUCUGUAGUUGCAGGUGACCUGACAUGAGGCUUAGCUGCACUCACACACUUUAAAUUCGAGGCAGGCAUAAGACAUGAGAUAGGACAUGUUGCUCAUGUAGGAAAAUACCUUCAUGAAUAUUCAAGCCUGAGGACUAGCCUAACGUAGAGAGUUUUUUGGAGCAGUGUGCUGCACACGAGACAUUUAAAAUCCAGACACUCCUCUAACACUUGAAAUCCUUGUACAAGAACUGAUGCGCCCAAAAUCAGGUCUUCACAGGAGCUCCAUUUCCUCUGAGCUGUCCGUGCAACCAACAGACUUACCUUGUAUGGGUGGAAAUACUCUUGAUCUCUGGUGAUCAAAGGCCAGUCUGAAGUGCCUGUCAAAGAGCAAGCAAAACCUCAAGAAGCUGCAGGAGGUGGGGCUCACGUCUCACCAUCUACACGCUCCUUUACACCAAGCCAGUGGUAUAAAAAGUGGAUAUCCAUCCUCCUUUUGCCCCAGAAGCACAGUUUAGAGCAUACUUGGGUCUGCUGGUCACAGUGUGGGUAAUUCCUAGGGGGAUGAAGUGAUACGUGCAGAGGCACUGGCUAAGACCUAGUGGCAGAGGUGCCCCACACGGGUCCAGCUGCCCUGUAGCACCAGUGUGAUCCAGCAGUGUGGCAGGGCAGGUGCUGGGGCAGGAGCUCCUUCCAUCACGCUAAGAUGUCUCUGAGUGAGUCACUGCCCUAUCAUCUGAAAUACUGGGUCAGGUGCUGUAGUUUAAACCCCAGAUGACGGUAGGUGAGCGGAUAGGUGAGCACACCCCUUGCAGUAACAAACCCGUGGGAGGCUGGAAGGUACCUGAGGCCAGGGCAGGUGCUUGUCAAGUGAGUGUGUCAGCGCUCCAGCGCUGGUGGGAACCAUUCCUCUUGGUAUUUGCAUUGCUCUGGAAAAUGAGUUACACUGGUGCUGAAGAGCUAGAAACUUUUGCAUUGACAUAUAUCUUAAUAGCCGAUUAGACUAAAAUAGUCUUGAUGUAAGUGAGAAUUAGACAGUGGCAGUACCCAGGAUAAGACUAAUCGGGAUUAUUUGUGAAUUCCCAGUUACAUUUUUGUACAUUUCAUACAUCUGGAAGAGCCAGAAUGAUGUACCGUGUGCUUAUUCUGGCUCUAGAUGUUUUGUUGUUGUUGUCGUUUUGCUGGCAUUAAACCACCUGUUGGGAGACAGACCUUGCCUUAUCCUACAUAAAGGCAGCCAGUACAGUGCUGACUCGUCACCGAGGUUUGAACAAAUGGAAGUUUACUAUCAUACGGAUCAGCACUUUGCACCAGGAAGCCCCAGUGUUUGCUAUCCUUGGAAGCCAUAAAGCCAGGCCUUUUUCUUCCAUCAGCAGCCCACGUGUGCAGGGCUCUAACUGAAAUGGUUUAACACCGGCCCUUUUAUUACACCAGCACAACUCCUUCCCACAGGUUGGCCCUUCACUUGAUGUUACUCAUUGCUUUCUGUUUACACAUAGGAAUUUUAUGUGAUGCAUAAGCAGAUAAGUACUGCAUCUGCUCAGUCAUAUUUCCCCAACACCUCUCCCUUUGUUCUUUUUGCCUUUUAUCCUCUGGGUUUUCUUCGCCAAGGAUCCCUGCCCUCACCCAGCCACUGUCCCCUUACUUCUUUAGCUUCACUCUGCCCACCUCUGCUUCUGCAGUAGAGGAAGCUUGCUUGAUAGCAUUAGGCAAUGCCUUUACUAUUUGGUGAUGUUAAUGCUCUCGCUCUGAAUCAAUUUCCUCUUUGUUUGCCUGUGAUGGAAAGCUCCGUGAAAUCUGCAACGGUUUUGCUGAAAUGAGAAAAGGGAAGGACGAGACCUGCAGCCAGGCACUCUGCAGCCCCUCCCAGCUCUCCAGCGCUCAGGGUAGGGGCGCAGGCUGAGUCACUCAGCCCUGCACCAGCAAACACCCGUGGAGGCACAAAAGGGCUGCUGAGAGCAGGCAGCAUGCAGCCAACUUGGAUUAAAGGCCAACUCUGGGAAGAGGGGCUCGUGCCCAGCGAGCCUUGGCUCUUCUGGCUGACUCACCCCGAUUUGCCCCACUCAGACUGAGGCCAGACCAUCCUCGGGAGCUCCUGCUCCCCUGAACAGCUUUGGGGAGAGCGGAAGCAGUUGGAGGUAGGCUGGAGAGCCCUGCUCCUGCCUCCUCGCUGGAAACUGCUUUCUUGCUUGCUCACGUGCACACUUGGGUAGUGCACUUGCAAAGACUAUAGGCAUGAAUAUUUACAUUCCCUUGCCAUGGACAUGAAGCUGAAUUCCACCCUCCGGUUGCAGGGUGAAUCAGGUCAGAAACACUGUUUCAGAGAACAGAAAUGCAGAGGUACGGCCAACCAGAUGGGGUGCUGGGCUGCCAUGCAGCUGCACAACCUUUCUAGCAAUUAAUCCACCGGAAAGUGAGGGAGAGAUCGCAGGCUCAGUGCUAACCAGGGGUUUUGGCUCUUUGCUUGGAGGGCUCGCCUGGCAAAGCUGCUCCCUGAGGUCAGCAAGUCUACUGAGCAGAUACCCCAGCACCCUGUGGCGAAGCUCCUCUGCUGGGGGAACACGGCUCGCUUCUGUGAACUACUGCUGGGAAUGCAUGCUAGGAGCACACAGCAGGAAGGAAUGACACAGCUGUACCUUCACACCUUCCAGCACUUUCUUAGAAAAGGGCAGAGCGGUGUGUUUAAAUUCCCUUUUCUUCUUCCCUUGUUCGGCUAGACAAGUCCCAGGCCCUAGCUGGAUGGCACCAACUGGACUGUAUGUCUGGGCACUGCGUCCCACUCAUUUUUAAGGAAAAUUAAGCCCCACCCCGGAGAGUCUGCUCACAGCUCAGGCAGUUCUCUGCUGGACUGGGCUGCCUGGAGCCCGUGUUCUCCACAUCUGAAACCAGACGACCCCAGGAGCAAAGCUCCACGUUUCCAGUCACUGGUUCACAGCCUCUGGCAGUUCCUGCAGGAUGGCUGAAAACAGUGCCAUGGGGCUGGCAGCUUGCCCCCACAGCCAGUGCAUCCCAACCACACCUGCCUUGGACCUGGAGAAGGAAUCCUAUAAUCCCUGUGUGGUCCUUCAGCAUUACCCAGCAUCUCCAUCCCAAACAUUGCGUCUUCCUUCUCCUUCCUGCUCCAUAAUGCAACCACUUAUAUGGAAAAUGAAUCAGCCCUCCUUGGGCAUCUUUCCAAAUGCCCCUCUGACUAAUUCUGCCCAAAACAGCCAGGCUGACCCUGUGCAAUGGCGUGAUCAUGGCAGACAGGACUGGGUCACGUUUGGGUGGAGGAAGGGAAAAACUGUUUUGCAGGCCUGCCCAAAAAUCCUCAUGUUGACUCUGCCAAAACCACACCAAACAUAUGGUAAAUGAAAUAGCUGGCAUGGAGCUGCUUUGGACGGCAGGAGUGUUUCAGCACUGUGGACUGCUCUUUAGCUGUCUUGAAUGUUAUUUACACUGUUUUAAGUAUCUCCACAUUUAAGGGAGAGAAGGCAAAGAAGAGGGCGAUGCCAAUUUUUUUGUGCAUUUGAUGCUUUUUACAUGCACGUUAUUUUUAUAGCCAUGUUAGCACGGUCCCAAUGCUUGCCCUGUCCUGUGGCUGAGAACAGUAACAGCAUUGCAGAAGGUUUCCUCCCCUCUUCGUGUAGCAACAGACUUCGGUGGAAAAGCACACAGAAGCAUUUUCUCUCUCAAAACAGGAGCUGUGCCUAAUUCACCAUAUAAAUGUCCUGCACAUUUCAUGGAGCUGAUGAAAUCAUGUACAGAUGGAAUGCCUCUUAACAAAGGCUUUAUUCACAGGGCAGGUUUCUCUGCCAUGUAUCUUUGACUGUAUUCCAGCUUAUACAGCUAUUCCCAGUGAAUACAUCCAUGGAGCCAGACCAUUUUCUGGGCAGAUACCAAAGGUGGAUGUGCUCAGCUCCCAACACCGCACUGUGGCUUCACUACAAGUCUGAGGCUGGAAGUCAUGCCAAUGAGCAUUCCUUUCCUCACUCUGUAUUGUUCACCUGGACUCAAGCACCCAGUGCCAUUUCCAGGGUUUGUCAGGUACUUUGGAAGAAACACCGCAGGACAACAGAACCUGAGAAAGAGCAUCCAGAGAAGCCAGAGGUCUUCAGUCAUUUGGGAGACGGCCAUAGGAAUGGAGUUGUGGUGGCUACAGCUACAAAAGAUGGAUGAAAAUAAAGCAGCCAAAUGGUGAUGAUCAUGAAAAAAAAAUAAAAAAUAAAAAGUGACUGUUCUUGAGAUCGAGGUAUAGAUUUUUUUUCUUGGAGCUACAGUGGCAGAGUGCCAGCAGGAGAGCUCACCUCCUCACAUAGCAGCUGGCGGGCUGCUGGGCAGCUCUCCACCACCGUUUGCAUGUUUUAACCCUUCCCCAGCCCCAACUCAACCUGUAGCUUCUCCCAUUUGUCCAUAAGCCAUGGCGUCCUGACACUAUUGCACUCUUGAGGGUCCUGUGUAAAAGCAGGCAGGGGCUGCUGGCCUGCUCGCAUGCACACCUUCCCAGUGCUGAAAACUCAACUCCCAAAUCCCCUGUUCAUCCAACAACCUCAUCAUCUAGACAAGGAAAACAGCAGGCUGAUCUAUGCUGCAGAGCAAACUUCCUGGCACAGUCCAGUGGUAUUCGUCCAUGAACCCUUCUCUCUGCCUUUCUUUUUUGCCCUUUGUUCAGCGCUCAGUCAGUAACUCCUUAGAAACAACUCGCUAACUGCCCACGCUCAAAACAAGAACAGCAACAACAAAAGGAAUGAUAUAGAGGGAUGACUUCAUCGAGUUUGGAAAUAUCUUCUCAAAUGAAACAUUCCUUUACUCACAUACACAAGAAAGUAUCAAAAUUCUCUGCAGCUGAUGUAAACAGCAGAAAGAAAAAGUCAUCUGGAAGGACAGGAUGAUUCAUACCAAGGACCUGACUGGCAAUAUUCAUCAGUGUUGAAAUCCUCUCUGCAAGAUGACUACAUGCGAAAGCAAAACCAACGAGAUCCCAGCUUUUGCCAUGAGAAGCGUCAUUAACGGCAGAGCAGCGUGGUUAGGCUCCUAAUGCCACAACCCUUGCUCAUGGGAGUAACCCUUGCUCACUCAUCUGACCGGUCGCAGCAAAAAGCCCUGUGUCACCCAGGUGAGAAUGCUUUACAUAAGGGCAGCCACAGCAGCAGGCUGGAGCAGGCUCAGCUGUUGCAGCCUAUUUUGCAGAAGGGGCUUUGGAGCAGGAACAGAAAGUUCAAUAGCAAAAGAGAAGGGUUUUUCUCCAUCUUGCCAAAACUCCUUGCUAGGGUUUCCUCGCAGAAAUCCCUGAUUUGAGCACUUUGGGGAGACUGGAAAGUUCAGCCAAUCUUUCCCUUUAUGUUAAUUGUGUUGAUCCAAAUGGUAACAGGGCACAAAAGGCCGCGUUGACUUUAUGCACUGUUAUGAGAUACUUUCCCCUGCAUAUCUGAAUCUGUUUACUUAAUCUUCCAGGCCUUUACCCAUGAAUAUUAAACUCCUUGAUCACUAUGCAUUAGGAGUCAUCUUUGCACCAUCUGUUUGUAUUUGUCAUCUAACCCUUGUAAAUAAUAAAAUGUACUUUGUUCUCAAGUUCGUGGAUCCUAGCAGGAGAGUGAUUACCACGGAGGAAAAGUACUGUGUGAAGCUAUUAGCAGCCACAGGACUCUCCUUUAGCUCCCUGUCUCCUGUCUGCCCUCUGUGAGACAAAUGUACCAAGUCACAGGUUCCCUAUUGUUCUCCAUAUCAUUCUAUUUCUGCUGCCAACGCAUUCACCACUAUUACGGUCAUUAAACUAAAGCCGAAAACCUACCCCAAAGAGUGACUGUUAGCCUCCUUAGUCUCCUUGUAGUCCCAGAAGAGAUGAUUUCGGGUUCACAUCUCUGAAUACGAUGCAGAAAGUCUUGCUUAUGCAUGUAAAAUGAGCUAAUAGCAGAAGAGAAGGUGAGUUGCAUUCCUGGAUGCCAGUAUUCAGCUGAGAGGUUCAACUGGGAGGUACAGCUCACAAGACGCCAAGCAAACACCAAGGGAAAAAUGCAGAAAGUGCAGUCUCUAGAAUAUAAAAUUAAUCCUUGGAGUUCUGGCUUAAAAUGUUAUGCAGCAGGAAGAGCCUUGCCACAUAUUACUGAGGUUCAGCUUCAACUUCACCAACUGAGACAAGGAGGUUUCACCUGGGAGAGAGGCCCAUAGCUGCAGGUGCUCAUGGGAAGCCACGGCCGCUGGCGGGCACACCUCACACACCAGGAUCUCCCUGCAGCCAGCAGGAGACGUGCCUGGCAGCAGGCUUAUGUCCAUUCACAUCACCCAGUGAGUUGCCUCUCCAUGCUCUUAUAAGUGAACCUGGAUGUCGGGCAACUAUCACCAGUUCUCAGGCAGCUGCAGUCUAUUUAAAACCUAAUGGAGCUGAUUAGAGAAGGGAUCAUUUAGGAGAUGAUAUGGGAUCGUAUUGUAUCUAUCUGAUGUGGUGGUAGCACCAAAUUUAGACAAGAAAAUUGUUGCCAAGUAUUUGCUUAACUGGAAGAGCUGUCUGGGCUCGGACAAGAUACCACUCGCCUCUCUGCUCAGCCUUGCAAACAUCCUACACUAGGAGGUUACCUAUUAAGUGAUACACAAUAGAUCUUUUUAAUUGUUAGAGCGUUACGACCUUAGACUUUGCCCAGGUAUUUAAUAACACCAUCUGCUGUCUAGCUCUGCAAUACUAUUAUUUUUACAUGAGGAUUACUCUUCCUGCUUCACAAACAGCGCUGUAAUAACAGAGCUAAAUAAGAGCACAGCAGCGUGGUACUUACACCCUACUGUCCAAGUAAAACACACAGGAGGUGCAGCUCACCCCAAAUUUCCAGACGCAUUGUCUCCAACCUGGAAGUCUUGAAGUGCUGCAGGCGGAGGAGCUGUGGAUCCAGUCUUGUGGGUUGCACUCAGGAAAAGCUCUCGCCUUGCCUGAGAAAGGGCCAGGAGCAAAAUCCAUCCCUGUGUAGGCUGUCUGCUCCUUGGCUGGCUCUGCUUUUCCCAUUUGCUUCCCCAGAACAACAGCAAUGGUCUGCUGGCCAUGAGCUAGGAGUCACUGUGCCUUCAGGCUUUUUUCUCAUUAAUAACACACUCUUGCAGCACACGCAUUUAGCUCCAAACAGUCAUAUUUAUCUGGUUUUAUAUCUGUAUCUAUAAAGGGUCCAAGGCAAACAGAGAUGUGACCUUUGGCACUUUCAGCUGAAAUGCCUCUGUACCAAUGCACACAUCAUGGGAAGUAAGCAGGAGGAAUUGGAAACUGUGGUGCAAUUGGAAAACUACAAUCUUAUUGCUAUCAUGGAAACACGGUGGGAUGACUCACAAGAGGAAUACCAUGAUUGAGGGCUGUAAACUUUUUAGAAGGGAUAGGCAAAUUGGAGAGGUGGGGGAGUGGCCCUCUUCUUGUUAAGAAGUGGAUAAUCUGCUGAGAGCUGCCCCUGAGAAACAGUCAGGAACAGGUUAAGAGCUUGUGGGUUAAGAUUAGGGACAGGGCCAGUAAAGGGCAUCUGGUGGUCAGGG